GGAAAGGGGGCGGGGCUGCACGCCGCGGAACCGGAACCACACCGCGUGUGCUAUUUUUUACUGAUUAUUCAUUUUAUUUAUUGAAAUAAAUAAAUUCAGCACCAGAACUCCGGAGGAAUUUUAGGAACAAGGCUCCUUUUCCCACCGGAGGAGCCCAGACAGCGCCAGUCUGCGGUGCAGCUUCCAUCAGCGCCUCAUUACCGCCGCCGUAAAGGCCUGAAUACACGCACAGCCAGUUUUACAAAAUAAGAGUCCCGCCAUGCCGGAGGAGGAGCUUAGAAGCGCUGUGAUAAAGACUUCCAGGCGCUAGUCUUCCUCACUGGGGGGCUCAGCUCCAGUAAAUCAGGAGAACCUUGUUUUCAGCGUCGAUGCUGUAGCUGGGAUUUUAAAAAAAGACCACAAUGUUUUAAAAUCUGCCCGAUUUGAUAGAAUUUACACCAAAAUUGUAUUAAUUUCUAUUUAUUACAAAUAAAAACUAAGAAACAGACAUUAACCCAG